UUGUGUCUAAGGCAAGCUUAGCAGACCCUCCCAUCGAUCUCACUUACCUAGCCAAUUUGGUGAACUAGAUUUUGAUUAGAUCGCUAAGUGAUUCGAGUUAGCCUAUGCCAUUAAGAUUGAUAGUGUGACUGAUCUAGGUGCCAGUUUAAUCAGCAUGACCAAACCCGAUUCAGUGACUUAGUGAAGUCAGUGGGAAGAUUAUGGUCUACUAAGUGAUCUUUUCUUCUCUUCUCUCUUCUCUAAAUCAAUUAAAUCUUCUAAAUUAUUACGUCCUUAAAAUGAGCUAGUUAUGGUGAUAACUAGAUCAUAGCGUUCCAUUAAGAUGAGUGAUAAUGAGUCCAUUAUUUUUGAUUGACAUUGCAGAUGCC
rnacentral:lncRNA from 1 species